UACGAAGGGGGCUAGCGUUGUUCGGAAUUACUGGGCGUAAAGGGCGCGUAGGCGGCUCUGAUCGUCGGAUGUGAAAGGCCUGGGCUCAACCUGGGAAUGGCAUCCGAUACGGCGGGGCUGGAGUGGGGGAGAGGGACGCGGAAUUCCAGGUGUAGCGGUGAAAUGCGCAGAUAUCAGGAAGAACACCCGUGGCGAAGGCGGCUCUCUGGGACGGUACUGACGCUGAGACGCGAAAGCCAGGGGAGCAAACGGG
rnacentral:rRNA from 1 species